UCCUACGGGAGGCAGCAGUGGGGAAUUUUGGACAAUGGGGGCAACCCUGAUCCAGCCAUGCCGCGUGAGUGAAGAAGGCCUUCGGGUUGUAAAGCUCUUUCGGCCGGGAAGAAAUCGGCGACUCUAACAUAGUCGCUGGAUGACGGUACCGGACUAAGAAGCACCGGCUAACUACGUGCCAGCAGCCGCGGUAAUACGUAGGGUGCGAGCGUUAAUCGGAAUUACUGGGCGUAAAGCGUGCGCAGGCGGUCUUGUAAGACAGAUGUGAAAUCCCCGGGCUUAACCUGGGAACUGCGUUUGUGACUGCAAGGCUAGAGUACGGCAGAGGGGGGUGGAAUUCCACGUGUAGCAGUGAAAUGCGUAGAGAUGUGGAGGAACACCGAUGGCGAAGGCAGCCCCCUGGGCCUGUACUGACGCUCAUGCACGAAAGCGUGGGGAGCAAACAGGAUUAGAUACCCUGGUAGUCCACGCCCUAAACGAUGUCGACUAGUCGUUCGGAGCAGCAAUGCACUGAGUGACGCAGCUAACGCGUGAAGUCGACCGCCUGGGGAGUACGGCCGCAAGGUUAAAACUCAAAGGAAUUGACGGA
rnacentral:rRNA from 1 species